rnacentral:rRNA from 1 species
UGUUGGGGUAACGGCCCAACAAGCCGAUAAUCGGUACGGGUUGUGGGAGCAAGAGCCCGGAGUUGGAUUCUGAGACACGAAUCCAGGCCCUACGGGGCGCAGCAGGCGCGAAAACUUUACAAUGCGGGAAACCGUGAUAAGGGAACCCCGAGUGCCUGUAUAUGCAGGCUGUCCAGGUGUCUAAAAAACACCUGAAGAAAGGGCCGGGCAAGACCGGUGCCAGCCGCCGCGGUAAUACCGGCGGCUCGAGUGGUGGCCACUUUUAUUGGGCUUAAAGCGUUCGUAGCUGGGUUGUUAAGUCUCUUGGGAAAUCUGACGGCUUAACCGUCAGGCGUCUAAGAGAUACUGGCAAUCUUGGAACCGGGAGAGGUGAGGGGUACUUCGGGGGUAGGAGUGAAAUCCUGUAAUCCUCGAGGGACCACCUGUGGCGAAGGCGCCUCACCAGAACGGCUUCGACAGUGAGGGACGAAAGCUGGGGGAGCAAACCGGAUUAGAU